UACGAAGGGGGCUAGCGUUGCUCGGAAUCACUAGGCGUAAAGGGCGCGUAGGCGGCCAUUCAAGUCGGAGGUGAAAGCCCAGGGCUCAACCCUGGAAUUGCCUUCGAUACUGUUUGGCUAGAGACCGGAAGAGGUAAGUGGAACUGCGAGUGUAGAGGUGAAAUUCGUAGAUAUUCGCAAGAACACCAGUGGCGAAGGCGGCUUACUGGUCCGGUUCUGACGCUGAGGCGCGAAAGCGUGGGGAGCAAACAGG
rnacentral:rRNA from 1 species